AGAGUUUGAUCAUGGCUCAGAUUGAACGCUGGCGGCAGGCCUAACACAUGCAAGUCGAGCGCUUCUAGCUUGCUAGAGGAGCGGCGAACGGGUGAGUAACGCGUAGGAAUCUGCCUGGUAGUGGGGGACAACGUCUCGAAAGGGACGCUAAUACCGCAUACGCCGUACGGGGGAAAGGGGGGGAUCUUCGGACCUCUCGCUAUCAGAUGAGCCUGCGUCGGAUUAGCUAGUUGGGGGGGUAAAGGCCCACCAAGGCGACGAUCCGUAGCUGGUCUGAGAGGAUGAUCAGCCACACCGGAACUGAGACACGGUCCGGACUCCUACGGGAGGCAGCAGUGGGGAAUAUUGGACAAUGGGGGCAACCCUGAUCCAGCCAUGCCGCGUGUGUGAAGAAGGCCUUCGGGUUGUAAAGCACUUUAGGGGGGGAGGAAGGUUCGCUGUUUAAUACGCAGCGGGAUUGACGUUACCCCCAGAAUAAGCACCGGCUAACUUCGUGCCAGCAGCCGCGGUAAUACGAGGGGUGCAAGCGUUAAUCGGAAUUACUGGGCGUAAAGCGCGCGUAGGCGGUUAGGUAAGUCGAUUGUGAAAUCCCCGGGCUCAACCUGGGAAUUGCAGUCGAGACUGUCUGACUAGAGUGUAGGAGAGGGUGGUGGAAUUCCCGGUGUAGCGGUGAAAUGCGUAGAUAUCGGGAGGAACAUCAGUGGCGGAGGCGACCGCCUGGCCUAACACUGACGCUGAGGUGCGAAAGCGUGGGUAGCAAACAGGAUUAGAUACCCUGGUAGUCCACGCCGUAAACGAUGUCGACUAGCCGUUGGAGACCUUAGAGUCUUUAGUGGCGCAGCUAACGCACUAAGUCGACCGCCUGGGGAGUACGGCCGCAAGGUUAAAACUCAAAGGAAUUGACGG
rnacentral:rRNA from 1 species